rnacentral:lncRNA from 10 species
CCGCCCCGUGCUUCCCGGUGCCCGGAGGUGCCGGCAACUUUGUUGACCAAAUUCCUGAACGCGUCUGAGCCGCGGGCUAAAAAUAACCGGCUCAGCGCGCCGCGCGGCCCAGGCACCCGGCUCUAUAAAGGGGCGCGCGCGGCUUCGCGUUUAGCCGUGGGAGGCGGGGCCGGCCGGCGGCGCGGGUGGGGCGCGGGAGCGGUCCCGGAGCAGCCCGAGGCGGCGGCCGCGGGGAGGAGGCGGCGAUCCAUUACACAUUUGCUCUUCCCCGCCCCACAUCCUCCCUAUAUACUAUGUGAACAUUUUUAGUUUAGGCCGGGUGCAGCAGCUCAUGCCUGUAAUCCCAGCACUUUGGGAGGCCAAGGCAAGCAGAUUGCUGGAGCCCAGGAGUUUAAGACUAGCCUGGGCCAUGUGAUGAAACCCCAUUUCUACCAAAACUACAAAAAAUUAGCUGGGCAUGGUGGCAUGCACCUGUAGUCCCAGCUACAAAUGAGGCUGAGGUGGGAGGAUUGCCUGAGCCUGGGAGGUCUAGGAUGCAGUGAGCUGUGAUCACACCACUGCACUCCAGCCUGGGUGACAGAGUGAGACCUUGUCUCCAAAAAACAACAACAACAACAAAAAAGGCUGAGGCGGGCAGAUCACGAGGUCAGGAGAUCGAGACCAUCCUGGCUAAAAUGGUGAAACCCCGUCUCUACUAAAAAUACAAAAAAUUAGCCGGGCGUGGUGGCUUGCGCCUGUAGUCCCAGCUACUCAGGAGGCUGAGGCAGGAGAAUGGCGUGAACCCAGGAGGUGGAGCUUGCAGUGAGCUGAGAUCACACCACUGCACUCCAGCCUGGGCGACAGAGUGAGACUCCGUCUCAACAACAAAACAACAACAACAACAAAACCCCACAAUACUUUUAGCUUAAAAAUAUUCCAUAUUUAAAUUAUCAUGACUACAUAAGAAUUGUUCUUGCCUGAACAACGUUAUAUACUAUAAUUAAAUGCUCUUUCCUGAGCAACUUCUUUGUUUUUCCUGGAGUUAAAAAUUGCCUCCUGGUUUUCCUUUGUUUGGUUUUCUAUGUGUCAACAACAAAUUCUUCCUAAAUGCUCUAAUCAUUUUAGAAAUCUCUCGUGACAUGGCUUCCACACAGAAACUUGCAUUGUGUAAUCUAGGAAGGCCAUUUUCCCUGGAUACCUUUCAGCAGGAGCCAACCAGUUUCCUGCCACAGCUGGACUGGCUGCUCUCCAGGCCUGCUGGCCCCUCCUGCCUCACCUGUGUUGGCACCCCCUUCUCUUUCUUGGUUGACUUCUCCUUGUAGGGGAGCAUCCUUCAGAUACUUCUUCAGAAGAGAUGCAUGGGAGAUAAGUGUUUUGAGAUUUAACAAAUCUAACAGUGUCAUUAGUAUUUCCUCACACUAGACAGAUAGUUUGGCUGGGUAUAGAAUUUGCUGUUGGGAGUCUCUUUUCCUCAGCAUCUGUAAGGUACUCUGUCUUUGAGCUUCUGUGUGGUUACUGGAAGUCCAGUUCCAUCUUUACUACUAAUCCUUGGUAUGUGUGGAGGCUAAAGUAACAUACCAUGGAAGCUAAUCCACCAUGCUGACUUCUGACUAACACUGGUUCCAGGAAUGCCUCUGAGAUUUUCAGUUUAUCUGUUGUUUCUUGCAUAAGAGCAUAUACUGUAAGUCCUGCCUUUAGAUCAAAUUCCUCCCCAUUCCCUCUGAAGCACAUGUACCCUUUCCCUAUGGUAUAUAACCUCUGGGUCUGGGGAAUUAUGGUGUGGAGAUCUAUAUGUCUUGUGGCUGUCCAAGACCACUCUUCUGUUCAUAAGAUCCCCCAUAAAACACACUUUAACAACAAGCUGAAUUUGUCUGCCUCCUCCUUUGGUUUCUCAGCUCCUUCUGCAUUUGGGGGUUGCUUUGCCUUUUUAUGAGACAGUAUGUGGCUGGGCAUGAUGGCUCAGGCCUGUAUUCCCAGCUCUUUUGGAGGCCCAGGUGGGAGUAUCACUUGGGUCCGGGAGUUUGAGACCAACCUGCUGCAGCCUGGG